CCUGACUGCUAUCGGAUUGAUACUAAGCCAUGCGAGUCUUUGUAGUAAUACAAGGCAUACGGCUCAGUAACGCGUAGUCAACCUACCCUAUGGACAAGAAUAAUCCCGGGAAACUGAGCAUAAUUCUUGAUAGAUCAUAAUGCCUGGAAUGGUUUAUGGUUAAAAUGAUUCGUCGCCAUAGGAUGGGACUGCGGCCUAUCAGCUUGUUGGUGAGGUAAUGGCCCACCAAGGCGAUUACAGGUACGGGCUCUGAGAGGAGAAGCCCGGAGAUGGGUACUGAGACAAGGACCCAGGCCCUAUGGGGCGCAGCAGGCGAGAAAACUUUGCAAUGUGCGAAAGCACGACAAGGUUAGUCCGAGUGAUUUCUGCUAAAGAGAUCUUUUGCUAGUUAUAAAACCACUAGUGAAUAAGGGGUGGGCAAGUUCUGGUGUCAGCCGCCGCGGUAAAACCAGCACCUCAAGUGGUCAGGAUGAUUAUUGGGCCUAAAGCAUCCGUAGCCGGCUCUGUAAGUUUUCGGUUAAAUCUAUGCGCUCAACGUAUGGGCUGCCGAAAAUACUGUAGAGAUAGGGAGUGGGAGAGGUAGACGGUACUCGGUAGGAAGGGGUAAAAUCCUUUGAUCUAUCGAUGACCACCUGUGGCGAAGGCGGUCUACCAGAACACGUUCGACGGUGAGGGAUGAAAGCUGGGGGAGCAAACCGGAUUAGAUACCCGGGUAGUCCCAGCUGUAAACGAUGCAGACUCGAUGAUGCAUUGGCAUAUAGCCAGUGCAGUGUCGCAGGGAAGCCGUUAAGUCUGCCGCCUGGGAAGUACGUACGCAAGUAUGAAACUUAAAGGAAUUGGCGGGGGAGCACCACAAGGGGUGAAGCCUGCGGUUC
rnacentral:rRNA from 1 species